UGAUGUCUCGAGUUGGUGGAUCUGUUG
rnacentral:piRNA from 1 species